GUGUCAGCAGCCGCGGUAACACGUAGGGGGCGAGCGUUGUCCGGAUUCAUUGGGCGUAAAGCGCGCGCAGGCGGCUCGGAAAGUCGGGUGUGAAAACUCGGGGCUCAACCCCGGGCGUGCAUCCGAUACUGCCGGGCUUGAGGCAGGUAGGGGAGAUCGGAAUUCCUGGUGUAGCGGUGAAAUGCGCAGAUAUCAGGAGGAACACCGGUGGCGAAGGCGGAUCUCUGGGCCUGUCCUGACGCUGAGGCGCGAAAGCUAGGGGAGCGAACAGGAUUAGAAACCCCCGUAGUCC
rnacentral:rRNA from 1 species